rnacentral:rRNA from 1 species
GAUGAACGCUGGCGGCGUGCCUAAUACAUGCAAGUCGAGCGAACGGACGAGAAGCUUGCUUCUCUGAUGUUAGCGGCGGACGGGUGAGUAACACGUGGAUAACCUACCUAUAAGACUGGGAUAACUUCGGGAAACCGGAGCUAAUACCGGAUAAUAUUUUGAACCGCAUGGUUCAAAAGUGAAAGACGGUCUUGCUGUCACUUAUAGAUGGAUCCGCGCUGCAUUAGCUAGUUGGUAAGGUAACGGCUUACCAAGGCAACGAUGCAUAGCCGACCUGAGAGGGUGAUCGGCCACACUGGAACUGAGACACGGUCCAGACUCCUACGGGAGGCAGCAGUAGGGAAUCUUCCGCAAUGGGCGAAAGACUGACGGAGCAACGCCGAGUGAGUAAUGAAGGUCUUCGGAUCGUAAAACUCUGUUAUUAGGGAAGAACAUAUGUGUAAGUAACUGUGCACAUCUUGACGGUACCUAAUCAGAAAGCCACGGCUAACUACGUG